rnacentral:rRNA from 1 species
AACGCGAAGAACCUUACCUGGGCUCGAAAUGCAGGAGACCGGGGUAGAAAUAUCCUUUCCCCGCAAGGGGCUGCUGUAUAGGUGCUGCAUGGCUGUCGUCAGCUCGUGUCGUGAGAUGUUGGGUUAAGUCCCGCAACGAGCGCAACCCUCAUCCCUAGUUGCCACCGGGUAAUGCCGAGCACUCUAGUGAAACCGCCCCGGAUAACGGGGAGGAAGGUGGGGAUGACGUCAAGUCCUCAUGGCCUUUAUGUCCAGGGCUACACACGUGCUACAAUGGUCGGUACAAACCGUCGCGAGACCGCAAGGUGGAGCUAAUCGGAAAAAGCCGGCCUCAGUUCGGAUUGGAGUCUGCAACUCGACUCCAUGAAGCUGGAAUCGCUAGUAAUCGCAGAUCAGAACGCUGCGGUGAAUACGUUCCCGGGCCUUGUA